rnacentral:rRNA from 1 species
AAUCGGGGCAAGCGGUCGUGGUAAUACGUAUGGUCCAAGCGUUAUCCGGAUGUAUUUGGCGGUAAGCGAGCGCAGACGGUUAUUUAAGUCUGAAGUGAAAGCCCUCAGCUCAACUGAGGAAUUGCUUUGGAAACUGGAUGACUUGAGUGCAGUAGAGGAAAGUGGAACUCCAUGUGUAGCGGUGAAAUGCGUAGAUAUAUGGAAGAACACCAGUGGCGAAGGCGGCUUUCUGGACUGUAACUGACGUUGAGGCUCGAAAGUGUGGGUAGCAAACAGGAUUAGAUACCCGGGUAGUC